UGGGGAAUAUUGGACAAUGGGCGAAAGCCUGAUCCAGCCAUGCCGCGUGUGUGAAGAAGGUCUUCGGAUUGUAAAGCACUUUAAGUUGGGAGGAAGGGUUGUAGAUUAAUACUCUGCAAUUUUGACGUUACCGACAGAAUAAGCACCGGCUAACUCUGUGCCAGCAGCCGCGGUAAUACAGAGGGUGCAAGCGUUAAUCGGAAUUACUGGGCGUAAAGCGCGCGUAGGUGGUUAGUUAAGUUGGAUGUGAAAUCCCCGGGCUCAACCUGGGAACUGCAUUCAAAACUGACUGACUAGAGUAUGGUAGAGGGUGGUGGAAUUUCCUGUGUAGCGGUGAAAUGCGUAGAUAUAGGAAGGAACACCAGUGGCGAAGGCGACCACCUGGACUGAUACUGACGCUGAGGUACGAAAGCGUGGGGAGCAAACAGGAUUAGA
rnacentral:rRNA from 1 species